rnacentral:misc_RNA from 1 species
UUAUUCGCACGCGGUGUUUGUAAGCGUAGGCCGGAUAUCAAAGAGUUUCUGUGCACAAGAGAACGUAUAUGGACUUACAAAACGAACACAAGCGAGUAUGUUCAAUGUAAAGUGGACCGAGUGACGAGUAUCAGUCAGACAUCCAUUAUCUUCAGGCGGUAUUACUUCCGUGAUGAGCAACAAUAAUAUUUUUCUCUCCAAGGAGAAAUUGCUUUACAUGACAAGAAAAUAUGGCUGCGCUGUAAUGAUGGUCACGCAAGCACAACAUGGUCGAGAGCCGUACUAUGAGUUGCGUGUUUGGGAAUCAUUCUUGAAGCAACGCCCUAAUGUGAAAUGUGUGAGAGAGUUUCAGAAGCAUACACAUAAGGGGAAAACUAUAUACGAACCGUUUUGCAACCACAUCCUUCUCAUUAGGUGAAUUGCACAAUACGCAUCUUAAAGCUGAGAACUGCCCUUUAAAUAAGUGUCAUCUCGCUUAUUGUGAAAAAAGGACACAUUGCAAUUUCAAUUCUUUCUCAAAUAACAAGUGGUGUUUUCCUAAAAAAUAAGCUAUAAUGCGCUUAGUACCGAUAUGCUUUUGCUCUUUAAAAAUAAUAUUACAUGCAUCAACACAAUAACAUUACAAGCCAUCACGUUGGCUUCAACACUACCAUGUUUUCAAGUAUUGCGUUUUCUUUUUUUAAUAAAACACAUACAGCAGCAUAAAUUCUUGCAAAGCUUCAGAACAACAUAAAAAUCCUUGGGAGAAAUAAAUACGGA